rnacentral:rRNA from 1 species
CCAGAGAACUUUCCAGAGAUGGAUUGGUGCCUUUCGGGAACUCUGAGACAGGUGCUGCAUGGCUGUCGUCAGCUCGUGUUGUGAAAUGUUGGGUUAAGUCCCGCAACGAGCGCAACCCUUAUCCUUUGUUGCCAGCGGUUAGGCCGGGAACUCAAAGGAGACUGCCAGUGAUAAACUGGAGGAAGGUGGGGAUGACGUCAAGUCAUCAUGGCCCUUACGAGUAGGGCUACACACGUGCUACAAUGGCGCAUACAAAGAGAAGCGACCUCGCGAGAGCAAGCGGACCUCAUAAAGUGCGUCGUAGUCCGGAUUGGAGUCUGCAACUCGACUCCAUGAAGUCGGAAUCGCUAGUAAUCGUAGAUCAGAAUGCUACGGUGAAUACGUUCCCGGGCCUUGUACACACCGCCCGUCACACCAUGGGAGUGGGUUGCAAAAGAAGUAGGUAGCUUAACCUUCGGGAGGGCGCUUACCACUUUGUGAUUCAUGACUGGGGUGAAGUCGUAACAAGGUAGGCGUAGUGCU